GCCGAGACCAAGAGAGGACAUAGCAUCCCCUGGGAACAGAGUUACAGGACCUCCUGUGUCGCUGCUUGCCUAAAUCCACCUCAGGGAAGAGUGGAUGACACUUGGCUGGUGCCGGAACUCUUUUGCCUUCCACAAGACUAUGAUCCCACAGUCUAUUUCUCCUGCUAAGCAAAUCAUGAAGCCCAAUGCAAAGCACUUAAGAGCCGGGGUUGGAGAGAUGGCUCAGCGGAAAUGAAAACUAAUGCCCUACCUACUGCUGAAGGCACCGCACACUUCAGAAAUAAGACCCAGAGACCCCUGAGGUGGAACGGACCUGAAUGUCUCCUCCAUGAAGACUAGCUUUUAUGGUUCCAGGAGAUGACAGAAGCUUCCAAAAGAGGGCAGCAACCAACAGUUCUGCCCAGCUAUGAUGCCCAUGAACCACAGCGAUGACUUAUCAUGGCAAAGUAACUGUAUGAGUAUUGGGUCAACCUGCUGCAAAGGUCUAAGUCUGACAUUACCGGAAAGCCAGAGCUCGGGGGAAAAAAAUGGUGGACUCCCUUUUUCAGCAGGGCUUCUCCUUCUCUGACCUUGUCUGGGGAGCUCAGAGCUCCCACAGCCUCUACCUUCGGAGUAUCAUGUAGCCUUGGUUAGAUUACAGGUGUAGCUCCCCCCAUCCCAUAGAAACCCUUGCAGCCAGUACCUGAGAUUCCUGGAAUGCCUCCCCAUGCUAAUGAGGUAUCUCAGGACUUUGGCCUUCAGCCAAUGACCUUUGAAUAUUGCUAUCUCCUCCCCCA
rnacentral:lncRNA from 1 species